ensembl:misc_RNA Metazoa_SRP Metazoan signal recognition particle RNA
GCCGGGCACGGUGGCACAUGCCUGUAGUCCCAGCUACUCCGGCGGUUGAGGUGGGAGGACCGCUUGAGCCCAGGAGUUCUGGGCUGUAGUGCGCUAUGCCGAUCACUAAGUUCGGCAUCGAUAUGGUGACCUCCCGGGAGCGGGGGACCACCAGGUAGCCUAAGGAGGGGUGAACCGGCCCAGGUCGGAAACGGGGCAGGUCAAACUCCCAUGCUGGUCAGUAGUGGGAUAGAGCCUGUGAAGAGCCACAGCACUCCAGCCUGAGUAACAUGGUGAGACCCUGUCUCAA